AUCCAGCUGACGAGUCCCAAAUUGGAUGAAAGUUGUGUCCUGGAC
rnacentral:hammerhead_ribozyme from 1 species